rnacentral:rRNA from 1 species
GAUGAACGCUGGCGGAGUGCCUAAUACAUGCAAGUCGAGCGGCAGCGCGGUAGUUUACUACUUGGCGGCGAGCGGCGGACGGCUGAGUAACGCGUGGGAACGUGCCCCACAGUGAGGAAUAACUGCCCGAAAGGGUAGCUAAUGACGCAUAUGAUCUUCGGAUUAAAGGAUUUAUCCGCUUUGGGAGCGGCCCGCGUACGAUUAGAUAGUUGGUGAGGUAACGGCUCACCAAGCCGACGAUCAUUAGCUGGUCUGAGAGGAUGACCAGCCAGACUGGAACUGAGACACGGUCCAGACUCCUACGGGAGGCAGCAGUGAGGAAUCUUCCACAAUGGGGGCAACCCUGAUGGAGCAACGCCGCGUGCAGGAUGAAGGCCUUCGGGUUGUAAACUGCUUUUAUAAGUGAAGAAUAUGACGGUAACUUAUGAAUAAGCACCGGCUAACUACGUGCCAGCAGCCGCCGUAA